CUUGUAAUAUUAGUUGUAGUUUGUUAUGCAAUCGGCCCCAGGUACAUUCAUUGUGAUCAUUGAAAAACUGACUCUAGUCCUUUUCGCUCUGACAUAAAUCUUUUCGCCCCUUUAAAAAUGCCACAAACCUACACAGCCUAACUAGAUAGGAACUGUAAUAUUCUGUCCCUAACUACAACACAUUACUCAUCUCCAUACGAAUAUUUCCGAGUUAAUCUUUUAAAAAAUAUUAAAAUUAAACUUAUUAAUAAGUGAAACGAUUUCGAGAAAUUACACACAUCUUUAUAGCAGAAGCCAGGAAAUUAACCUUUUCGCCGCCAUUGGCUCGAUAUAAAGUCAGUUCAGUACAUUUCGUACCCCACACGCCACGACUUCAUGUCAAGUCGUGGUUUUGGUCAGGUUUGUUUACGUGCAACUUUUGACAUGGCUUAAUGACACUAUUACUUAAUUGACGCGGCGGCGAAAAGAUUACUAGUUCUUCAAAAAGGACAUUUUGUAAGAUUAUCACGAAGAAAAUGUAAGACUUAAAAUUCAUAAGUUAAACUAGCUGCGAUGUCCAUGAAGUGUCCGAACUGAUUUAUAAUUGAUACAAUUAAGAAAUAGUAAAAACAUAAUUGUUUAAAUUUAAGAUUUUGUCAAUUCGUAACGAAAAUGAACAGAUAACUAUCAGCCGUAAAUACAAACUAAAAACAACGGGCAAACAUAUUUACGUAUUAAAGUCUAAAAACUUAUGAUUAUAAUUCUAUAUUACAGACUCGACUUAAUCCAUAUAUCACUCCUUCGAAUGUCAACUUAGGACAUGGUGAUGAAAAA